CAGCCGCCGCGGUAAUACGAAGGGGGCUAGCGUUGUUCGGAAUUACUGGGCGUAAAGGGCGCGUAGGCGGACUGAUAAGUCAGGGGUGAAAUCCCAAGGCUCAACCUUGGAACUGCCUUUGAUACUGUUUGUCUUGAGUUCGAGAGAGGUAAGUGGAACUGCGAGUGUAGGGGUGAAAUUCGUAGAUAUUCGCAAGAACACCAGUGGCGAAGGCGGCUUACUGGCUCGAAACUGACGCUGAGGCGCGAAAGCGUGGGGAGCAAACAGGAUUAGAUACCCCGGUAGUCCCUGUCUCUUAUAC
rnacentral:rRNA from 1 species